GACGAACGCUGGCGGCGUGCUUAACACAUGCAAGUCGAACGGAAAGGCCCGGCUUUUGUUGGGUGCUCGAGUGGCGAACGGGGGGAAAACACGCGUGUAUCCGGCCCUUGACUUGGGGAUAACUUCUGAAAACGGGGGCUAAUACCGGAUAAAAGCUCCUGCUCCAAGGGGGGGGUUGGAAAGUUUCGGGGUUUGGGGUGGGGGUCGAGGCUUAUCAGCUUGUGGGUGGGGUAGGGGCUUACGAGGGCUUUGACGGGUAUCCGGCCUAGGAGGGUGACCGGCAACAUUGGGACUGAGAUACGGCCCAGACUCAUACGGGAGGCAGAAGUGGGGAAUAUUGCAAAAUGGGAGGAGGCCUGAUGCAGCAACGCCGCGUGCGGGAUGACGGCCUUCGGGUUGUAAACCGAUUUCGCCUGUGACGAAGAGUGAGUGACGGUAAUGGGUAAAGAAGCCCCGGCUAAAUACGUG
rnacentral:rRNA from 1 species